CUUAAAAUCAACUCAGAAAAGAGAGACAAGUUUACCUAUUUCCCAAAGCAUUGAGUGGUUUCCUUCAAUUUUAACUAAGCAGUUAAAGACAUUGACACUA